AGUGAACGCUGGCGGUAGGCCUAACACAUGCAAGUCGAACGGCAGCACAGUAAGAGCUUGCUCUUACGGGUGGCGAGUGGCGGACGGGUGAGGAAUACAUCGGAAUCUACUUUUUCGUGGGGGAUAACGUAGGGAAACUUACGCUAAUACCGCAUACGACCUACGGGUGAAAGCAGGGGAUCUUCGGACCUUGCGCGAUUGAAUGAGCCGAUGUCGGAUUAGCUAGUUGGCGGGGUAAAGGCCCACCAAGGCGACGAUCCGUAGCUGGUCUGAGAGGAUGAUCAGCCACACUGGAACUGAGACACAGUCCAGACUCCUACGGGAGGCAGCAGUGGGGAAUAUUGGACAAUGGGCACAAGCCUGAUCCAGCCAUACCGCGUGGGUGAAGAAGGCCUUCGGGUUGUAAAGCCCUUUUGUUGGGAAAGAAAAGCAGCAGGUUAAUACCCCGCUGUUCUGACGGUACCCAAAGAAUAAGCACCGGCUAACUUCGUG
rnacentral:rRNA from 1 species